CGCUGGCGGCAUGCCUUACACAUGCAAGUCGAACGGCAGCACGGGAGCAAUCCUGGUGGCGAGUGGCGAACGGGUGAGUAAUACAUCGGAACGUGCCCAGUCGUGGGGGAUAACUACUCGAAAGAGCAGCUAAUACCGCAUACGACCUGAGGGUGAAAGCGGGGGAUCGCAAGACCUCGCGCGAUUGGAGCGGCCGAUGUCAGAUUAGCUAGUUGGUGGGGUAAAGGCCUACCAAGGCUACGAUCUGUAGUUGGUCUGAGAGGACGACCAGCCACACUGGGACUGAGACACGGCCCAGACUCCUACGGGAGGCAGCAGUGGGGAAUUUUGGACAAUGGGCGCAAGCCUGAUCCAGCAAUGCCGCGUGCAGGAAGAAGGCCUUCGGGUUGUAAACUGCUUUUGUCAGGGAAGAAAUCCUCUGGGUUAAUACCUCGGGGGGAUGACGGUACCUGAAGAAUAAGCACCGGCUAACUACGUGCCAGCAGCCGCGGUAAUACGUAGGGUGCGAGCGUUAAUCGGAAUUACUGGGCGUAAAGCGUGCGCAGGCGGCUUUGCAAGACAGA
rnacentral:rRNA from 1 species